GUGCUCGCUUCGGCAGCACAUAUACUAAAAUUGGAACGAUACAGAGAAGAUUAGCAUGGCCCCUAAAAAAAAAAAAAAAAAAAAAAAGCCAGGCCAGUGAGAUUGCU